CCCCAAUCUCAACUUCUUCAUUCAACUACUUCAGAUUUAGAUUAAGGAAUAAAGUUAGUGAUUUUGAGGUCAAUUGUGUUCAAUCCAAUUCUUCAAAUACCCAAAGCUCUUUGCUUUCUCAAACUUUGAGGUAAAUCUUAUAGUAACAUCUUUUACUAUUUCAGCAGCAAUUUUAGUGCUUUUUUAUUUGAUCUGUAAAUAUAGUCUUUUUGGGUACUAGCCAAUUUUUCAGAAUGGCUAAUGGUAAACAAAAUACAAGUUCAGCAGAUAAACUUGUGAUAGGUGCAGCUGUAGGUGCAUCUCUCCUAGUGAUCCUCGCAAUAGUUAUCUCUAUUGUUUUCCUCUACAAAAGACGAGUAAUAGCAGGGCCAAGAUUUAGUAUGAGAAGUUACUCCGUGACAAAGAGUAAGUACACUCUACUCAGUGACAAAGAGUAAGUACACUCUCAACACACCAGGAACAGAUACUGUUAUGCAACUUUCCGGUACCCAGUAGUCAUAGAGUACAUUCCUGGGAUAGUCAUGUUGUCAUAUUAAAUAUCCAGAUUUUGUGUAUAGUUUUAUGUACCAGUUAAUUUACACAUCUUCAACAAAGAAGAUGGUCAAUUUUGGGAAGUGAAAUUUCAUUGUUGAGAGCAGAAAUAGGUGUAUGAACACUAAUUUUGAUUGUGCGGAAGGAUGAACGUAUUAAUAGUUUAUUUCUAAAUCUGGAAAAUCACACAACAGUUACAACUUGAGCUUGACAUCUUUAAAACCUCUAUAUGUGUUUCUAUAAAAGGAAAGAGAUUGUAGGCCAGCAACGUAAGUAUUCACUCUAGAGUCGUGUGAAAAUUUCCUCCAAUUCGGUCUUUUCAUUCAACUCUAUCCAGCAGUCUUGCUUAUAGAAAAAUAUGGGUAAAACCAGGAGAAAAAUAAAGGAAUAGUCUCACAGGCCUCUGGUAUCAACAUCUACAAUUGACUGGAAUUACCUGCGAUUAGUCUCAUGAGUUCCUGGUGUGCUGCGGCUAGACAGCAGAAGGCUAUGAAGAUCUUCCCUAGGCCAACUGCGGGAUCAAUUUAUUUGCUUUUUUCUUAAGUUAAAAAGUGAUGUUUGAUUUAUUUAUCUUCAGACAACAGCUAUACAAUUUUCCUAACAUGUUCUCCAGCGGUUUGAAUUUGAACCAACACAUUCAUGUGUAUUUUCUGGAAUUUUUGACAGAUAUGCAAGGAAUUGAAAGAAAAUAGUGGUUGUUUUAGAUGAUAACCACUGCUUGCAGCUUGUGAAGGCUGCAUUUAAGCAUGUUGAUAAGUUUUCAGUUCAUUUUCAAUUACUCUUUCAUUGAAAAGUGGAUUUUUUACAAUAUACUAGAUCAUAUGCCACAUAUAAAGCCUGAUGUAUGUCAACAACAACAUGAAGAGCACUGUUUUUACAGUGUAGAUUUGCAUCCAAGAUUUAACAGAAAAGGCAAAUUUUGCAUCCUUUUGAAGAAUGCCCUUAUAAAUCUUUCUUGGGACCAAUGUAACAAAGGGAAAACGAGAGAAGAGUUA